GUGCUACCUUCGGCAGCAUAUAUACUAAAACUGAAGUGAUAGAGAUUAGCCUGGCUCCUGUGGAAGGAUGACACAGAAAUUCGUGGAUUGUUCCAUAUUUUU